rnacentral:rRNA from 1 species
AGUGAACGCUGGCGGUAGGCCUAACACAUGCAAGUCGAGCGGAUGCAGGGUGCUUGCUCGUGGAUUCAGCGGCCGAGUGGCGAGUAGGGGCGAGGAAUAUGCCUAUUAGUGUUGUAGAACGGCCUAAAACGGGCGCUCAUACGGCAUUAGUCCAUAGGACGUACGUGGGAGAGCUGCGGACCUCACGCCAUCACAUGAGCCUAGGUCGGAUUAGCUAGUUGGUGGGGUAAAGGCGUACCAAGGCGACGAUCCGUAACUGGUCUGAGAGGAUGAUCAGUCACACUGGAACUGAGACACGGUCCAGACUCCUACGGGAGGCAGCAGUGGGGAAUAUUGGACAAUGGGCGCAAGCCUGAUCCAGCCAUACCGCGUGUGUGAAGAAGGUCUUCGGAUUGUAAAGCACUUUUGGUGGGAAAGAAGAGCAGUAAGUUAAUACCCUGCUGUUUUGACGUUACCCAAAGAAUAAGCACCGGCUAACUUCGUG